UGCAAGUCGAGCGGGCGUAGCAAUACGUCAGCGGCAGACGGGUGAGUAACGCGUGGGAACGUACCUUUUGGUUCGGAACAACACAGGGAAACUUGUGCUAAUACCGGAUAAGCCCUUACGGGGAAAGAUUUAUCGCCGAAAGAUCGGCCCGCGUCUGAUUAGCUAGUUGGUGAGGUAAUGGCUCACCAAGGCGACGAUCAGUAGCUGGUCUGAGAGGAUGAUCAGCCACACUGGGACUGAGACACGGCCCAGACUCCUACGGGAGGCAGCAGUGGGGAAUAUUGGACAAUGGGCGCAAGCCUGAUCCAGCCAUGCCGCGUGAGUGAUGAAGGCCCUAGGGUUGUAAAGCUCUUUUGUGCGGGAAGAUAAUGACGGUACCGCAAGAAUAAGCCCCGGCUAACUUCGUGCCAGCAGCCGCGGUAAUACGAAGGGGGCUAGCGUUGCUCGGAAUCACUGGGCGUAAAGGGUGCGUAGGCGGGUCUUUAAGUCAGGGGUGAAAUCCUGGAGCUCAACUCCAGAACUGCCUUUGAUACUGAAGAUCUUGAGUUCGGGAGAGGUGAGUGGAACUGCGAGUGUAGAGGUGAAAUUCGUAGAUAUUCGCAAGAACACCAGUGGCGGAAGGCGGCUCAC
rnacentral:rRNA from 1 species